rnacentral:rRNA from 1 species
CUACGGGUCGCUGCAGUGAGGAAUAUUGCGCAAUGGGGGAAACCCUGACGCAGCGACGCCGCGUGGAUGAUGAAGGCUUUCGGGUCGUAAAAUCCUGUCAGAAGGGAAGAAAUGCUAUAUGCCUAAUAUGUGUAUAGUUUGACGGUACCUUCAAAGGAAGCACCGGCUAACUCCGUGCCAGCAGCCGCGGUAAUACGGAGGGUGCAAGCGUUGUUCGGAAUUACUGGGCGUAAAGCGCGCGUAGGCGGCCUUUUAAGUCAGAUGUGAAAGUCCACGGCUCAACCGUGGAAGUGCAUUUGAUACUGGGGGGCUUGAGUACUGGAGGGGAUGGUGGAGUUCCCGGUGUAGAGGUGAAAUUCGUAGAUAUCGGGAGGAAUACCGGUGGCGAAGGCGACCAUCUGGCCAGAUACUGACGCUGAGGUGCGAAAGCGUGGGGAGCAAACAGGAUUAGAUACCCCUGUAGUC